rnacentral:rRNA from 1 species
CGAACCGUCCAAACGUUAUUCGGAAUCACUGGGCUUAAAGGGUACGUAGGCGGCGCUGUUAGUCGGGUGUGAAAGCCCUCGGCUCAACCGAGGAAUUGCGCCCGAUACUGCAGUGCUUGAGGGAGACAGAGGUAAGCGGAACUGAUGGUGGAGCGGUGAAAUGCGUUGAUAUCAUCAGGAACACCGGUGGCGAAAGCGGCUUACUGGGUCUCUUCUGACGCUGAGGUACGAAAGCUAGGGGAGCGAAGGGGAUUAGAUACCCCCGUAGUCCUAGCUGUAAACGUUGAGCACUUGAUCGAGGACCCCCCCAUAGGUUCCCGGUCGUAGCGAAAGUGUUAAGUGCUCCGCCUGGGGAGUAUGGUCGCAAGGCUG